rnacentral:rRNA from 1 species
GACGAACGCUGGCGGCGUGCUUAACACAUGCAAGUCGAACGGUGAUGCUCCAGCUUGCUGGAGUGGAUCAGUGGCGAACGGGUGAGUAACACGUGAGCAACCUGCCCCAGACUCUGGAAUAAGCGCUGGAAACGGCGUCUAAUACUGGAUACGAAACUGGCCCGCAUGGGCAUGGUUUGGAAAGUUCUUCGGUUUGGGAUGGGCUCGCGGCCUAUCAGCUUGUUGGUGAGGUAAUGGCUCACCAAGGCGACGACGGGUAGCCGGCCUGAGAGGGCGACCGGCCACACUGGGACUGAGACACGGCCCAGACUCCUACGGGAGGCAGCAGUGGGGAAUAUUGCACAAUGGGCGAAAGCCUGAUGCAGCGACGCCGCGUGAGGGAUGACGGCCUUCGGGUUGUAAACCUCUUUCAGCAGGGAAGAAGCGAAAGUGACGGUACCUGCAGAAGAAGCACCGGCUAACUACGUG